GCUCCUGUAGCUCAAUGGAUAGAGCACUUGUCUUCGGAACAAGGGAUGCGUGUUCGAUUCACGCCAGGAGCACAA
rnacentral:tRNA from 1 species